rnacentral:lncRNA from 10 species
UGGAGGAAGAUUUGUCCUCAUGUCAGCUGCCCUGUUUCAGCUCCAGAAUUGCCAGCAAAGACUUUGCUCCUCGGUCCCUCUGGGUAGCAGAUGCCAUGCUUUCUCUCCCUCUCUCAUCCUCUCAACCUGGUUUGCUUUUGAAAAGGACAUGGAACUUGAGCAGCAGAAACAGGACCGAAACCUGGCUCUUCCCUUAUGCCACAGUCUUUCUAUAGCAGAAGCCAAGGGCCACCACUCCUUGUUAGAAUUUGCAACAAGAAGCAAGUGCUUCUUUCUCCAGCCAAAUACUGCGAAAAGUGCAGCGGAUCAGAGAAUCCAUGUUGACCAAAUGCACCAGCACAAAAGUGGAAUUGAAUCUUCUCUAAAAGAGAGCAAAGGAUUUUUUGACAAACUCCAUAACGAAGUUAAUAGUUAA